UACGGAGGGGGCAAGCGUUGUCCGGAAUCAUUGGGCGUAAAGAGCGUGUAGGCGGCCCGGUAAGUCCGAUGUGAAAGUCCAGGGCUCAACCCUGGGAUGCCGGUGGAUACUGUCGGGCUCGAGUCCGGAAGAGGAGUGUGGAAUUCCUGGUGUAGCGGUGAAAUGCGCAGAUAUCAGGAGGAACACCAAUGGCGAAGGCAGCACUCUGGGACGUGACUGACGCUGAGACGCGAAAGCGUGGGGAGCAAACAGG
rnacentral:rRNA from 1 species